UGGGGAAUAUUGCACAAUGGGCGCAAGCCUGAUGCAGCCAUGCCGCGUGUGUGAAGAAGGCCUUCGGGUUGUAAAGCACUUUCAGCGAGGAGGAAGGGUUCAGUGUUAAUAGCACUGUUCAUUGACGUUACUCGCAGAAGAAGCACCGGCUAACUCCGUGCCAGCAGCCGCGGUAAUACGGAGGGUGCAAGCGUUAAUCGGAAUUACUGGGCGUAAAGCGCACGCAGGCGGUUUGUUAAGUCAGAUGUGAAAUCCCCGCGCUUAACGUGGAACUGCAUUGAAACUGGCAAGCUAGAGUCUUGUAGAGGGGGGUAGAAUUCCAGGUGUAGCGGUGAAAUGCGUAGAGAUCUGGAGGAAUACCGGUGGCGAAGGCGGCCCCCUGGACAAAGACUGACGCUCAGGUGCGAAAGCGUGGGGAGCAAAACAGGAUUAGAUACCCUGGUAGUCCACGCUGUAAACGAUGUCGACUUGGAGGUUGUGCCCUUGAGGCGUGGCUUCCGGAGCUAACGCGUUAAGUCGACCGCCUGGGGGAGUACGGCCGCAAGGUUAAAAC
rnacentral:rRNA from 1 species